AAGAACUCUGAACUUUUCUGCCUCCGGACUUCCCCAUAUUCCUCCUCUAGUCUUCACAACAAGUUUUCUUAUUCCCCUCUUGUUUAUCUUCAAAUACUGAAGGAUUCGGAGGAGGUGGACCUUCCGUGGGGUCGGAGGUCAAAGGUCGAUUAUUCAAGUUUUCCGGCAAUGCUCGGUGGCUGGCGGUGGGGUCGGCCGACCCCACUUGGGUCCGUCAGUGAUUAUAGUCCGAGUAGAAUGGAGAGUCAAGCCGCACCGAGAAGCCUCUCGCUAAACCUCCGCCGCCGUUCCUCUCAACAGCCACCGCGUCUUCAGUCCAAACGAUUGAUGGGGAAAUAGAUAAACAAAUUUCUGUUUGGAGAAAGCACAGAGAAGUGUUGUGCCACUUUUUCUUAUGCCAGCCUUUAUGCGCAAGGUCAAAUGAGCUCUUUGUGCUAAGCCAGGCCACUUAUCACAUUCACAACGAGUUUAUGAGGCCAGAAUCGGUCCACCCACCCGGAGCUCAAAUGUAUUUCUACUUCUCCC